GCAGGGCCGCUCAUCCCACAGCGGGCCCAGCGAGACUGGCCCAGGCAUCCGGGCCCUGCCACGCCUCGCGUCCCUGAAGCCGUAACCGACUCCGCUGGGACGGAGACAAAACUAUGGCAGCAGCCGUACACCAGCCUUUCCUACCUCCUACCCCAAGAGCGAAGCGCAGAACCCCCAUUCCCCACUCACCGCCAGACCGGAACCAGGAAGGCGGAAGUCGCGACUUUCCCGUCCCGCCCACAGGCCGGCUCCAACCUUCGAGUCCAGGGUAAGGAAGUCGAGGUGCCAAUUUCCGGUCGCGGCCCUGUUGGAGUAGGCCCGGGACUCCGGCUUUGCAGGACGCGGGGGCGGGGUGGGGCGGCGCUGGGAUUUCCGAGGAGCGGCAGAUCCUUGUGGUUUGUCUUCCUUGGGGACUGUAACCACCACACCAGGAAAUGGAGAGAGUCUACAACUGGAAGCAGGAGAAUCGCACCCAUCAGCCAUGUGGGAUCUAAACCCCCUCUCGAUUUAGAGGUGGAAUGGACAACACCAUCCCAUGGUCCACAGAUGGAGGAAUAAAAUGUGGAUUAGAGUGGAUUUACUGGUCUUCUACUAUAGAACUAUUUUGACUCUAGCAAUGGAAGAAGUUUUAUCACUGAUGUAGAGACAGUGGCCAUGGGAGUUGCUGAGGGCAAGGAGAGGGAAGAAGAGGUAUGAUGUGGGGGCAUUUUCGUGACUUGGUGUUGCCCUGAAUGAUAUGCAGGACAUUAUAUAUCCUGCCAUAACCCACUGAAUGGACUGGGGAGAGUAUAAACUACAAUGUAAACUAUAAUCCAUAUGGUAUACCAGUGCUCCAAAUGUAUUCACCCAAUACAGUGAAUGUGCCACAAUGAUAAAAAAGUUGUUGAUGUGGGAGGAGUGAGGGUAUGUGUGGGAUAUAUGGGAACCUCUUAUAUUGUUUAAUGUAACAUAUUUUGUGCUCUAUGUAUCUUUUAAAAAAAAAGACAAAAAUUAAAAAAAAAUAAAGAUGCUCUUAAAUAUAUUACUACCUUAUUUAAACUAUUCACUUCCAAGAUGUGCAGUGCUUUAGCACAAAGAAUAAGUCACUAAUGCCCUGGAUACACACAAUGAAAAUGCUCUGCUGGAUUUCCCUUUUUAUUAUUAUUUUUUCUGUGGUAAGUUUAUGACUUGAUACUUAGCUUU
rnacentral:lncRNA from 1 species